rnacentral:tmRNA from 1 species
CUCUUGUGCCGCCCCCAUUGCUCUUCUUAUAUUUCGACUGUCGGGAAACCGACUAUAGCGCUAAAUGGCCUGACGGAAUAAGCGGAACGGACCCGGGGGCAGUACCCGGCGCCUCCACCAGUUUCUCGGGCGGCUAUCAUGAGAUUGCCGCUCUCCAUGGGGGCGAAUCAGGAUCGACGUACGUAAUAAAGGUUUGGCUUGCGCUCGGUAUGGCACCGCCGUUAUCGGGCCAUGGCUAUACAUGCCAAUGAUAACUUUGCGGGCGAAGCCCGCCUCGCUGCCUAAUUAGCGCAAGCUAAGUAAGCAAGCGCGGUCCGGGGGGCACCGGGCAACAGAAGCCCCUCACU